UACAGAGGUCUCAAGCGUUGUUCGGAUUCAUUGGGCGUAAAGGGUGCGUAGGUGGCGCCGUAAGUCGGGUGUGAAAUUUCGGAGCUUAACUCCGAAACUGCAUUCGAUACUGCGGUGCUUGAGGACUGGAGAGGAGACUGGAAUUCAUGGUGUAGCAGUGAAAUGCGUAGAGAUCAUGAGGAAGACCAGUGGCGAAGGCGGGUCUCUGGACCGAUACUGACGCUGAGGCGCGAAAGCGUGGGGGAGCAAACAGG
rnacentral:rRNA from 1 species